AUAUACAAAUACAAUUAUAUUAGGUACAGAAACACUUAGUUUGUGAAGUAUAAUAUAUAUAAAAUAGAUAAAUUGUAAAUAUUUACGACUGAAUUGGUGUUUGUAAGCAAUUGUUAAAAGUUAAGAAAGUAGAGGCUCUGGGGAUAUAUUAAUAGGUCAAUUUAGUUCCAAUAUCGAGCACAAAUCUAAAUCAUUGCGCAUAAAAAACGAUUAUAAGUGCAGUUCAUUCCAUUUAACUAACUCGUAUGGUAUCAGAUUCUAAAUGUAGUG